rnacentral:other from 1 species
GGAUCCCUGCGGGGUGCGUGAUGGAUCGUGUCACUUGAGCCUACUUUCGUCCUAGGGGUUCCGAGGCAGUUCCGCGGUGUGCAUGCCCUUCGCUGGGAAGCCUGAAGCGGGCCCGAGGCACCCCACCUGGUGACCCAGGUUCAACCGGUCGGUCCACACGCCCUGCGCGGGGGUUUU